rnacentral:sRNA from 13 species
AGGGCAUUCGAGAGGUGGCCUCCUUUUGUGCGGACAGAGCCGACUCGUAAAUGUCCAAUGCCAGCGUCCAUUCCUUCCUUCGAGCGGCCUGUUGCUGU